rnacentral:lncRNA from 1 species
GCGUAGUUAAUUAUUUCAAUUGUUGAUGAUAAGAUCGAGACUUGUUCCCUUUUUCCAUCAAUUCUUUAGACAUCUUAAUAAACACAGUUGUGUCCUGAUCAAAUGGAUUUAUGCUCUCUGAUAGCUUUGCCAUGCUUCACAUUUCCAUUGGACUUCGAUUGCACAUGACUUUUCAUCUUCCCAGUUGGCUUCCCCAUGGUUUGAAACUAAUCUUAAGGUGGCCGAAAAUCAAUUUAUAAUUUUGUCCUGAAAUUCAAAAAAAAAAGGGCAGAUGUUAAUCAUUCAACCGGAGAACAAAUAAAUAACUAUAGCGACACUACGCAAGUAAAUUUUGAAAAAUAAGAAUGAUCAAAAUAAUGAAAUAAAGACCUAUCUUUUCAAACACGUUCCAUAUUGAAACGAAUGGCAAAAGAUCAUCAAACUCGUGGAAAUAAAGAUAACCAUUCAUUUUUCAAAAAUUCACAUUACUCAGCAGAGACAACAACAUACCAAGUGUGAUCCCACAUUACUCGGCAACAAAAAAACAACAAUAAUAUACCUAAUGCAAUCCCGCGUUACUCAGCAGAAACAACAACAUAUCAAGUAUAAUCCCACAUUACUCGGCAACAACAAUAACAACAUGCCUAUAAUGUAAUCCCACAUUACUCGGCAACAAUAAUAACAACAUUAUACCCAAUGUAAUCCCGCAUUACUCGGCAACAAAAAAGAAAUCAGAUGGCAAUGUAAUUCCACAUUACUCGGCAGAAACAACAACAUACCAAGUGUAAUCCCACAUUAUUUAGCAACAUAAGCAACAAAAACAACAACAUACCUUUAGUGUAAUCUCACAUUACUCGACAACAAUAGCAACAACAAUAUACCCAAUGUAAUUCCACAUUACUCGGCAACAAAAAGAAUUCAGAUGGCAAUCUAGAGAUGUAAUUUUGAUUCAUGGAAUUAAGCAUACAUUGCAAAAAUGUAACCUUCAUUGAAAAAGGAAAGAAGAUGAAUUAGAUUACCUCUCUCCAAACAAAAGAUCAUGUAAAGACCAUUAAUUCAUAACUUUAAUUAAUGAUGAAGAGGAGUGACCUGACAAUACCAACAUUCUUAAAGAAAAACUAGAAGACACAUCACCACCAUGUAUGUCAAUGUCAUGUAGUUCUUUCUCAUAAUACUUUGAGGAUCUAAACUCUUCUGUCAUAUGCAAGCUAUGAAUUUUUUCGCUUGUUUGUUGAAGGUAUUGGUGUUUUGGCAAAUGCAUGAACAAACGUACGUCACAGUAACAAGUUAAAAUAAGAAACUUAAUUUUCAUGACAUAAUGUAGAUGCUUCGGGAUUUUAACUUAUUAUUCAUUUUAAAUAAUAAGUUUUUUUUACUUACUCUCUACUGGUUUUAUCUCCUGUGACCUUUCAGAGAUUUGUGUAAAACACAUUUUGUAGUAUGUUGACAUACUUCUCGCCAACACCCAUCUUGUCUUUCCACUGUGCUCAAGAAAGGCUCCUACCACCUGAAGUCAAACAUGUGCACAUACCAUACAUGUGAAGAGAAAGAGGACACAUAAACAACAAGCUUCUUAGUUCUCACCACAUGUUUUAGAAAUUUGAACAUGCAAGUAAUUCUCACUAAGUAUUUCAGAUAUUAAGUUGAUAAUUUCUCCUACUCUCCUCUGAAAAUGACAUAUUGAACGAUGAUUUGAAUUGUAGAAAGUAUAUAUGGUAAUUUCAUGUUCAUGCAAAAUUCUAAGAUUCUCAUUAUUUUCCCAUGGUUUUCAUUCUAUCGAUUUUAUAAGGAUGAUAAUUUUUUUACAGAAGACAGGUAAAGAUAUGCAUCUUUUGCCCAUAAAUCAAAGCUCAAGCUAUAUAUGAUGAGUGAUACAAGAGAACACAAAUUACUGGCGAUCACGAAUAGAAAUAAAUUGGAAGCAGUUCUAGCCCAUGUCGUUUCAGUAAAAAAGCUUGUUGUCCUUGUUACUUCCUUGUGCAAGGAAGUUAAGAAGAUUUUUGAAUCUUGUGGACUUUAAAUAAAGAUAUGUAGUGUGUACCAAAAUGUCAUUUAAUCUUAUGGUCUUAAACAUGCGAUGUGAAAAGUUUAUAUUAAAGAGUUGCCAAAAAAGGAAAGAGGCAUUCUUUCCUAAACAUAAAAAGAAAAGACAGACAAACAAAUUGAAAUGGAGGGAGCAUAUAAUUAAGAACAAUUCAUGCAUACAAAAUUAACAAUACAGAUACUCCAUGCAAUGUAAUAUAGCAUACAACUACAAGCAUUAAGCCAAAAAAAAACUUAUUUUCUGUAGCUUCAAUAGUGAAACGAAGGAUAAGGUCUCGUGUAUUGGUCAGGAAAUCAUCAUCCUCAAAAUCCUUACUAGAUUUUAAAAUUGGCAACUUUGUGUGAAUGUCAAGAGGACGCGGGCUAAAUGAGAGUCCACUCAUUAUCAACUCAGCUCAUUCCCCUCAUAAAAUUUACUUUUUGCAACUCUUGUCAACUUUCAGCUCACCUAGCAAACUCCCCACACUGCAUUAACACACAUAAAAAAAAUCAAAACAAAUUAAGCCACAAACUCAUCAAUUUUCAGCAAAAUAAAUGAUGUUGGGUGUAUUUAUGCAUUCUCGUGUCACUAUUCUAGUCUUUUUAGCCUUGUUUUGAGGAUGAUUCGCGUGAUUUAUGUAUGAUAAUUAUAUAAAUUAGAAUUGAAGUGUUCAAGUGUGUAAUUACAAGUUUUAAUGGUGUUUUCACAUGUCUUUUGAUUCAAAUUGAUCAUUUAGAAUUCAACUGAGAAAAUUAGUGUGACUAACUUGAGCUAGGUGUUUGUCUAGUCUAUCAUCUUGGGUUCGAAGGUGUUUAAUGAGUUUCUAAGGUUGUUAUUGUGUAUUUAUAUGUGAAACAACUUGUUAUAAUGUUCAAGGUUCAAUUGGAUCAAGAAAAGAGUCAAAACAAUAAGCUUAAGCUCAGUGUGAAUUUAGCCUAUGCUUAGCUCAUGUUUCUAGUUCACCGUCUUGAAUGGUGUGUUAUUUUGAGCUCUAAAUUAUUGUCUUUAAUGCUAUAGGAUGCUUGGUGAAUGGAUUAUGAUGAUAUAUGAAGGAUAUACAAACUUCAAAUCAAGUGGAAACAACUCAAAAAGUCUCAUAAUGGCUUAACAAAAGCACAAUACACAACUUGGACUCAAUUUGGACACCUGGAAUGUCCAGGGCGAGUGUGGGCGAGUGGGAAGCUCUAUGGGUGUGUGCUAUAUACCAAAAUACUCAUAAGGCACCCAAAAUAGUGUACCUUCGCGAUGAGGCUACGUCGAGACCCCUACUUAAGUCAAAUGGCCCUCGCGACGCUACCCUAUUUCAAAUAAGGGCAAAAGUGAAGAUUUGAAUCCUACACGUCUUGGGACUUGUUCUUUACUAUAAAUACAUCUUUGUACUCAUUAUUAUUCACUUUUGGACGUCUUGGAGGAUUAAGGAGGCGACCACCACUUCUUUUUAGGGUUUAUACCUCUUUAAUUUUAGUUUUUUUCAUGGUUUGUAUCAUCAAUCCAAGGGAUUGGAUGAUGAAUAUUUCAUAAAGGCUAAAACUCUUUUUUCGAGGUUAAGGCCAAGAUCAUAAAUACUUUCAUUUUGAAUUAAGUUCGUUUGAUUUACUUAUCAUUAUCGAGUGUUUGUUUAUUAUUGUUUUAACUAUUUUGAGGAUUCGCGACCCUUGAAAUACAUCUAUUGUCAACCUUGUGAACUCGGGAGAGGGAAUAGGGAGAUAGAACAUGGGAAAAAACAGAGUAUGGUUUGUAUUUAUUUAUAAAACAAGGAAUUAAAAUUAGUAUCUAGGACAGGAAUGUACUUUGAUGGCACCCAAAAGAAUGUACUUUGAUGGCACCCAAAAGGUGGCCACCUAUCUCGGGUUGGCCUUGGUUGGGGGUGUGGGUUGUGUUCAUGCCCCGUAUGGUUCAAGGCCUAUAAAGGAUGGGUUGCGCCUCUCUCUAUCAGCUAUAGCUUUUAGUGCAAUUGGUUAGCGGUUCACUCUUAAGGUUUGGUAUCAGAGCGGAGGUCACAGGUUCAAAUCCCGCUUACACCCUACGCAGGUUCGAGAACGAACCUUUCCCAAAGAAAGGGGGAAUGAUGGCACCCAAAGGGUGGCCACCUAUCUCGGGUUGGCCUUAGUUGGGGGUGUGGGUCGGGUUCGUGCCCCGUCUGGUUCAGGGCCUAUAAAGGGUGGGUUGCACUAAAAGCUAUAGCUGAUAGCGAGAGGUGCAACCCACCCUUUAUAGGCCCUGAACCAGACGGGGCACGAACCCGACCCACACCCCCAACUAAGGCCAACCCGAGACAGGUGGCCACCUUUUGGGUGCCAUCAAUGUACCUGUUGAAAGGAAAUAACUUGCAAUAACAUACACAACAAUCCUCUGGGUUGUUGCAUAAUUAUCUUAUUUAUCGAGUGAAUGUCUUCAAAAAGGGGUGGUCCUCUUAGAUACCGACGACACUUUAUGCAGAACGGUCCCUGCAAUCGUGUAAUUUGGUGUUCAUGUGGUAACCUCUUUGAUCACCUAUAAUGCUUGUUGUAUGUGGCAUGAAAACAUCUUCGCUUAUUAACAAUGAUUCUUUUCAUGUGACCUUCGAGUAAGUCUUGCGCAUCUUUUAUAUCGAUACGACUUAUAGAUUUUUCUUGAAUUGUCAAUCUUUGGAUAAUAUUACACAUUAUUUGAUGUUGAAUAUGAGGCGACUUACAUAUAUCCUUUGAAUUACUAGCUUUUAGGUAAUCCUGCACAUUAUCCGACCUUGGAUAAGAGAUGACUUACAGAUAUCCUUCCAAUCACUAACUUUCAGGUUUUCCUGUACAUCAUCCGACCUUGAAUAUAAUAUGACUUAUAGAUAUCUCUCAAAUUGCUAGUCCUUAAAAGUUAAGAGAAUCACUGAGAAUACAAAGUAAACUACUCUAAAUGACAAUAUUAUAAUAAUUCGGAACUCCAUGAAUUAGAAAACUUCCCUUUUUAUAUUACUUCGUUGGAUUUGAUUAUAUGCUACCUUUUUGUGAAGAAAAAAAAACAUCAUUAGCAGCGUUAUGUCUCGCUGAUUUUUGUUAGAAACCUAACCUUUGGAUUUAUUAGAUAGGAUCUGAUAUAUCUCCUCCACCUUAUCGAGGACAAUGACCUUAUAUAGAAGAGUUUAAAGAUCAUGUAUUAGGGUAGUAG